rnacentral:rRNA from 1 species
UACGUAGGGGGCAAGCGUUGUCCGGAAUCAUUGGGCGUAAAGCGCGUGUAGGCGGCUUCGUAAGUCCGUUGUGAAAGUCCAGGGCUCAACCCUGGAAUGCCGAUGGAUACUGCGGAGCUAGAGUCCGGAAGAGGUGAGUGGAAUUCCCAGUGUAGCGGGUGAAAUGCGUAGAUAUUGGGAGGAACACCAGUGGCGAAGGCGGCUCACUGGACCGGAACUGACGCUGAGGCGCGAAAGCGUGGGGAGCAAACAGG